rnacentral:rRNA from 1 species
GACGAACGUUGGCGGCGUGCCUAAUACAUGCAAGUAGAACGCUGAAGAGAGGAGCUUGCUCUUCUUGGAUGAGUUGCGAACGGGUGAGUAACGCGUAGGUAACCUGCCUUGUAGCGGGGGAUAACUAUUGGAAACGAUAGCUAAUACCGCAUAACAAUGGAUGACACAUGUCAUUUAUUUGAAAGGGGCAAUUGCUUCACUACAAGAUGGACCUGCGUUGUAUUAGCUAGUAGGUGAGGUAAUGGCUCACCUAGGCGACGAUACAUAGCCGACCUGAGAGGGUGAUCGGCCACACUGGGACUGAGACAAGGCCCAAACUCCCACGGGAGGCAGCAGUAGGGAAUCUUCGGCAAAGGGGGGAAAGCUGACCGAGCAACGCCGCGUGAGUGAAGAAGGUUUUCGGAUCGUAAAGCUCUGUUGUAAGUGAAGAACGGGUGUGAGAGUGGAAAGUUCACACUGUGACGGUAGCUAACCAGAAAGGGACGGCUAACUACGUG